rnacentral:rRNA from 1 species
GCGAACGCUGGCGGCAGGCCUAAUACAUGCAAGUCGAGCGGUCCCUUCGGGGGCAGCGGCGGACGGGUGAGUAACGCGUGGGAACGUGCCCUUUGGUACGGAACAACUGAGGGAAACUUCAGCUAAUACCGUAUGUGCCCUUCGGGGGAAAGAUUUAUCGCCAUUGGAGCGGCCCGCGUUAGAUUAGCUAGUUGGCAGGGUAAAGGCCUACCAAGGCGACGAUCUAUAGCUGGUCUGAGAGGAUGAUCAGCCACACUGGGACUGAGACACGGCCCAGACUCCUACGGGAGGCAGCAGUAGGAAAUCUUGCGCAAUGGGCGAAAGCCUGACGCAGCCAUGCCGCGUGAAUGAUGAAGGUCUUAGGAUUGUAAAAUUCUUUCACCGGGGACGAUAAUGACGGUACCCGGAGAAGAAGCCCCGGCUAACUUCGUGCCAGCCGCCGCAGUAACAC